rnacentral:tRNA from 1 species
CGGCUCGUAGCUCAGCUGGUAGAGCACGUGACUCUUAAUCAUGGGGUCGUGGGUUCGAUCCCCACCGAGCCGA